GGAAGAACAACGAAGGAGGACGCAUGGAGUUUGUAUGCGCUCGCACCAAUAUUAUUUUUAUGAGCAAUAACUUGUUGAAUUCCCCGUUCAGUCAACAGGUUUGUCUUUUGGGGACAGAUGGUGCUGGCUAUUCCAGUAGUGUACUGAGAUUUGAUUGGCUGGCAGGGUACUGAAGAUGCUAUAAGAGAUCUACGUCGGGGGUGUCACUCAUUCCAUAGAGAGCCUAGUGUCUGCAGGUUUUGGGUUUUCCUUUCAGCUAAGGUUUAGACAACCAGGUGAUGGAGUGACCUUAACUCAUCAAUCGAGUACAGGGAGCAGCGAAACCUGCAUACACUCUGCCCUUCGUGCAAUGAGUUUGACACGCAAUGAGUUUAUGAGUUAAUGGACCAGGAUGUAUAUUGAAGACUGGUGUAAAUCUUGCCCUGUGAUUGCGUUUGAUGAUCCAGUAUGUGGAAUAUGAAGACUUAAAUCUCAACCCUAUGGUGAGUGUGAGGGCUAAAAAUAGCCAAUUGUUUUCCUUCAGUCUUCUACUGGAGUUGUGAUGACUUCUCACUUUUGCUCUUUUCCUGGUCUGACUAAAUUGGGAUGCUGUGACAUACUGAACUGCCAGUAUUAACAUUGAUAAUUAUAGGUAGACGCAAUGCAGCGAUAUGGUAUAGAUGCAGAGAGUAAAGGGGAUAGUGGGUCAAUUUCCACAACUAAGAGUGUUGAAGCGUGAGCAUCUCGCUUAGCUCAAUAUCUGCGGUGCACCUCGUGGCAGCAGCAUUUUGCAGGGUCUACCUUCAAUCAUUAAACCUGCAAUCCCUGACUAAGGUUUGAGACUACUUAUUUCAUCAUGCAGGGUUGUUAGACCUGCAGUAGGGGAGUUAUUUCCUGGGUUGUGAGGUGUCAACUAAAAUUUUUCUACCCAUGAACAUUCAUUUUUAAUGGAAUUGUGAUGCCUUUUCUGACAUUUCUGCUAAUUUACCCCUCAAUGGUAGAAAGUAGUUUUAGGUUGCUGGCUAAUCUCAGACAAUGGUAAUUUAUUUAACCGAAUUCUUCUAUUCAUUGACAAUUCACAAGGUUUGGAAAGCGGUGCAGGUACUCUUCACAAAUGUGACCCUGGAGACCUAAACUAUCACCCUAUUUGCAACUUUCUUGCCUGUCAAAAAAGCACACCCUUGGUCUGACUCCCCUGCUUAAAUUUAAAGUUAAAUGUUUGUUUUUAAUCAGAUUUUAUUCUGUCCUGUUAUGAAAUAAAAUAUUUUAUGGUA